UACGUAGGGUGCAAGCGUUGUCCGGAAUUAUUGGGCGUAAAGAGCUCGUAGGCGGUUUGUCGCGUCUGCUGUGAAAACUCGGGGCUCAACUACAAGCUUGCGGUUGAUACGGGUGGGCUGGAGUUCGGUAGGGGAGACUGGAAUUCCUGGUGUAGCGGUGAAAUGCGCAGAUAUCAGGAGGAACACCGGUGGCGAAGGCGGUUCUCUGGGCAUGAUCUGACGCUGAGGAGCGAAAGUGUGGGGAGCGAACAGG
rnacentral:rRNA from 1 species